rnacentral:piRNA from 1 species
UGGCACUGACUCAUGACAUCCACUGUUGC